rnacentral:rRNA from 1 species
GCAAUGCCGCGUGCAGGAUGAAGGCCUUCGGGUUGUAAACUGCUUUUGUACGGAACGAAACGGCUCCUUCUAAUACAAGGGGCUAAUGACGGUACCGUAAGAAUAAGCACCGGCUAACUACGUGCCAGCAGCCGCGGUAAUACGUAGGGUGCGAGCGUUAAUCGGAAUUACUGGGCGUAAAGCGUGCGCAGGCGGUUAUAUAAGACAGAUGUGAAAUCCCCGGGCUCAACCUGGGACCUGCAUUUGUGACUGUAUAGCUAGAGUACGGUAGAGGGGGAUGGAAUUCCGCGUGUAGCAGUGAAAUGCGUAGAUAUGCGGAGGAACACCGAUGGCGAAGGCAAUCCCCUGGACCUGUACUGACGCUCAUGCACGAAAGCGUGGGGAGCAAACAGGAUUAGAUACCCUGGUAGUCCACGCCCUAAACGAUGUCAACUGGUUGUUGGGUCUUCACUGACUCAGUAACGAAGCUA